UAUGAUCGACAAAAAAUGCAGGGUAUUGACUAUCCAUGGAUCUAAGGUUGAAAUCAUUCCAUUCGGAGACGGAUUGGAGUUUGCCAGGAUCAUAAGUAAUCACAAAAUACACAUUGAAAAAGGAGCAGAUCAUGGUUACACUUCACACCAAGCUGAAUUAACUGAGACUGUUUUGCGCUUCAUAAAAGGUGUUUAGAGGUGCUUGUUCAUGAUAGAGAGAUUUUUGAGUGCACGAUUGGCGCAAGCUGAUCAAGUGAUUAACUGUUCUUCAGCUAAUAGUAGUGACAUUCAGUCUAAGAUUGCCCAAGUUGUAAAACCUACAGUAUUCCACACAGAUUCUGUCCAUGUAACAUAUCAAAGUCAGAUGGUGUCCACGGAAACAAGGCUGUAUGUGUAAUCGACUGGACAGAAUGCAACAAUUAAUCUAGUUCUCGGCUAAUGUUUGAUC